AGAGUUUGAUCAUGGCUCAGAACGAACGCUGGCGGCGUGCCUAACACAUGCAAGUCGUGCGAGAAAGGGGGGGCAACUCCCUGAGUAAAGCGGCGCACGGGUGAGUAACACGUAGGUGACCUACCCUCGAGCCCAGGAUAACCCGCCGAAAGGCGAGCUAAUACCGGAUAUGACCACGGGAGCUACGGCUCCUGGGGUGAAAGGUGGCCUCUGCUUGCAAGCUACCACUCGAGGAUGGGCCUGCGCGCCAUUAGCUAGUUGGCGGGGUAAUGGCCCACCAAGGCGAUGAUGGCUAGCUGGUCUGAGAGGAUGGCCAGCCACACUGGGACUGAAACACGGCCCAGACUCCUACGGGAGGCAGCAGUGGGGGAUAUUGCGCAAUGGGCGAAAGCCUGACGCAGCGACGCCGCGUGGGUGAUGAAGGCCUUCGGGUCGUAAAGCCCUGUCGAGGGGGACGAAACGUCCUCGACCCAAUACGUCGAGGCCCUGACGGUACCCCUAAAGGAAGCACCGGCUAACUCCGUGCCAGCAGCCGCGGUAAUACGGAGGGUGCGAGCGUUGUUCGGAAUCACUGGGCGUAAAGGGCGUGUAGGCGGCCCGCUAAGUCUGAUGUGAAAGCCCGGGGCUCACCCCCGGAAGGGCAUUGGAAACUGGCGGACUCGAGUCCCGGAGAGGAGGGUGGAAUUCCUGGUGUAGCGGUGAAAUGCGUAGAUAUCAGGAGGAACACCGGUGGCGAAGGCGGCCCUCUGGACGGUGACUGACGCUGAGACGCGAAAGCGUGGGGAGCAAACAGGAUUAGAUACCCUAGUAGUCC
rnacentral:rRNA from 1 species